rnacentral:rRNA from 1 species
CUACGGGGGGCUGCAGUGGGGAAUAUUGCGCAAUGGGCGAAAGCCUGACGCAGCGACGCCGUGUGAGGGAAGAAGGCCUUCGGGUCGUAAACCUCUGUCAGGAGGGAAGAACAUCAUGGAUUCGAACAGGGUCCGUGACUGACGGUACCUCCAGAGGAAGCACCGGCUAACUCCGUGCCAGCAGCCGCGGUAAUACGGAGGGUGCGAGCGUUAAUCGGAAUCACUGGGCGUAAAGCGUGCGUAGGCGGCCAAGCAAGUCAGGCGUGAAAGCCCUCGGCUCAACCGAGGAAUUGCGCUUGAAACUGCAUGGCUCGAGUCCGGGAGAGGGUAGCGGAAUUCCAGGUGUAGGAGUGAAAUCCGUAGAUAUCUGGAGGAACACCGGUGGCGAAGGCGGCUACCUGGACCGGUACUGACGCUGAGGUACGAAAGCGUGGGGAGCAAACAGGAUUAGAUACCCGGGUAGUC